UAGGGAAUCUUCGGCAAUGGGGGGAACCCUGACCGAGCAACGCCGCGUGAGUGAAGAAGGUUUUCGGAUCGUAAAGCUCUGUUGUUAAGGAAGAACGAGUGUGAGAAUGGAAAGUUCAUACUGUGACGGUACUUAACCAGAAAGGGACGGCUAACUACGUGCCAGCAGCCGCGGUAAUACGUAGGUCCCGAGCGUUGUCCGGAUUUAUUGGGCGUAAAGCGAGCGCAGGCGGUUAGAUAAGUCUGAAGUUAAAGGCUGUGGCUUAACCAUAGUACGCUUUGGAAACUGUUUAACUUGAGUGCAAGAGGGGAGAGUGGAAUUCCAUGUGUAGCGGUGAAAUGCGUAGAUAUAUGGAGGAACACCGGUGGCGAAAGCGGCUCUCUGGCUUGUAACUGACGCUGAGGCUCGAAAGCGUGGGGAGCAAACAGGAUUAGAUACCCUGGUAGUCCACGCCGUAAACGAUGAGUGCUAGGUGUUAGACCCUUUCCGGGGUUUAGUGCCGUAGCUAACGCAUUAAGCACUCCGCCUGGGGAGUACGACCGCAAGGUUG
rnacentral:rRNA from 1 species